rnacentral:lncRNA from 1 species
CCGCCGGCCUCCCAAAGUGCUGUGAUUACAGGCGUGAGCCGCCGCACCCAGUCCUUUGCACAUUUUUUAACCAGGAUAUUUAUUAUUAUUGAGCUGUGGGAAUUCUUUUUAUAUUUUAAAUAUUAACCCUUACCAGAUAUGAGUUUCAAAUGUUUUCCAUUCUGUAGGCUGCCUUUUCACUCUGUUGAGUGCUUCUUUUAAUUAAUAGAAGUUUUAAAUUUUGACGUAGCUUAAUUUAUCUAUUGUUUCUUUUGUUGCCUGUGAUUUAAGUGUCUUAUGUAAGAAAUCAUUGCCAAAUCCAGUGUCACGAAGACUUUAUUAUGUUUUUCUAAGAAUUUUAUAGUUUAAGGUCUUAAAUUUAAGCCUGAUCCAUUUUGGGUUAAGUUUUGUAUAUCAUUAGCUAAGGGUCUAACUUUAUUCUUUUGAUUUGUAUGUCCAGUUUUCCUAGCACCAUUCAUUCUGAAAAGACACUUUUUCCCUCACUGAAUGGUAAUGGCAUCCUUGUGGAAAAUAAUUUGACCACUGUAUGCAAGGACUUAUUGCUAAGGCUCUGUAUUCUAUUCCAUUGGUCUAUAUGUCUGUCUUUAUACCAAUACUACAAUGUUUGGAUUACUGCAGCUUUGUAAUAAGGUUUAAAGUCAGGAAUUAUGAGGAUUUCAUAUUUCUUCUUCUUUUUCAAGACUGUUCUGGCUCUUUGGAGUCUGCUGAGAUUCUAUGAACAUUAGGAUAAAUUUUUCUACUUCAGCAAAAAAAACUUGUUGGCAUUUUAAUAGGGAUUGAAUCUGUAGAUUGCUUUAGGUAAUAGUCACAUCUUACGUUUUACAGUCCAUGAGCAUGGAACAUCUCUCAAUUUAUUUUUGUCUUUUUUUUUUUUUUGAGACAGUGUCUCACUCUGUCACCCAGGCUGGAGUGCAGUGGUGCGAUCUCAGCUUACUGCAAUCUUCACGUUCUGGGUUCAAGCAAUUCUCCUGCCUCAGCCUCCUGAGUAGCUGGGACUACAGGUGCACCUCACCACACCCAGCUAAGUUUUGUAUUUUUCACCAAGACAAGGUUUUGCCAUGUUGGCCAGGCUGGUCCUGAACUCCUGACCUCAAGUGAUCCACCCGCCUUGGCCUCCCAAAAUGCUGGGAUUACAGGUGUGAGCUACCACACCCAGUGUCUUCUUUAAUUUCUUUUAACAUUUUGUAGUUGUCAGUGUUUUCAGUCUUUCAUGUGUACUUAAGAAUAUUCUUUAGUACAGACAGACCCCCAACUUAUGAUAGUUUGACUAAAAAAUUUUUCGACUUUACAAUAGGUUUAAGACAUAAAUCUGUUAUAAGUUGAGGAAUAUCUGUAUUUUAUUCUUUGUACUAUUACUGUAAAUGGAAUUAUUUUCUUAAUUUCCUCUUCAGAUAGCUGAGUUAGUGUACAUAAAUAUAAAUACAACUGAUUUUGUGUUUUGACUUUGUGCCCUGCAAUUUUGCUGAAUUCAUUUAUUAGUUCUAACCAUGUUUCUGUGAAAUCUUUAAGGUUUUUAUAUAUAAAAUCAUGUCGUCACACAUACAAACAGGGAUAACUUUACUUCUCCCUUUCCAAUUUUGAUGGCUUUCUCUUCUUGAUUAAUUACUGUGGGCAAUUAACUUCAAUACUAUGGUGAAUAAGUGGUGAAAGCAGACAUCCUUGUCUUGUCUCUGAUCUUAGAGGAAAAGCUUUCAGUCUUUGACCACUGACUGAUUUUAGUUUGCUGAGACAUCCUUGCAUUACAUUUGGUCCAAGCCUUUUGACAGACUGCUAAACUUGGUUAACUUGGUUUUGCUAGUAUUUUGUUGAGGAUUUUGUAUCAAUAUUCACAAAGGAUAUUGGUCUGUAAUUUUCUAGUAGUAUUACUGUCUGGCUUUGGUAUCAGGGCAUGUUAGAGUCACAGAAUGAAUUCACUUGAGAAGGACUGAUGUUAAUUCUUCUUUAAACGUUUGGAGAAUUCAUCAGUGAAGCCAUGUGGUUCAGGACUUUUCUUUGUUGAGAGGUUUUUGAUUACUGAUUCAAUCUCCUUAUUAAUUAUAGUCCUAUUCAGAUUUUCUAUUUCCUCAUGAUUCAGUCUUGGCAGGUUGUAUGUUUCUAGGAAUGUGUCCGCUUCAUUUAGGUUAAGCAAUUUGUUAAUGUACAAUUCUUAACAGUAUUCUCUUAUAAUCCUGGCAUCAAGUAAUCCUCCCACCUUGAACUCCCAAAGCACUGAGAUGACAGAUAUGAGCCCAGCCCAAAAUCCAAAACUCUUGAGUGCCAACGUUGUACUCAAAGGAAAUGCUCACUGGAGUGUUCAACUGGUAAGUAUAAUGUAAAUAUUCCAAAAUCAGAAAAAAAUCCAAAAUCCAAAACACUUCUGGUCCCAAACAUUUCAGUUAAGGGAUACUCAAUCUGUAUUUUGAAUGUGGCUUUUUCUUGAUUAGGCAUUUUCUUAGCUGGGCUAAGAAACCUCUGACUGUUUUCCAGAGCUUCUAUAAAGUUAUUCCAUCUAGUCCCUAGUUGCUUAUUAAUGUUUUCUAUGGUGGAACGAGAACCUGGAGCUUCCUGGACUGCCAUUUUACCAAUGUCAGAAUACAUUUUUUUAAGUUUUAUUACAUGAAUAAAGUAACUGCUAAUUGAGGGAUUACUGUGUGCUACAUUCUUGUCUAAUCCCUUUAUAUGUAGCAUGUAAUGUAAUCCUCACAACAACCCCAAGUGACAGGCACUAUUAUUUUCUCCAUUUUAUGGAUGCAAUUUGCCCAAAGGAUCACAGCCAGUAAGUGGUGAAAGCAGGGGAGCAGCCCCAGUCCCUGGCUCAAGCCCCCACAUUUAACCACGAUAUGACAUACAGCAGAGCUGGCUGCCUCAGGCCACUUUGCUGUGGCCCUUCUGGUCUGGUGUGCUUUGUUCAGACUCUGGCGAAUAUCCACAGUGGAUGUUUUCUUCUAGAUCUGGUCAGCACUGGUUGUCUUUCAUCAUAAGAGGAAGGUGACCCAGCUAGCCAGAGGCUCUAGUGAGCCUAGUGGGCUAGACGCUUGUCAGGGACCACGGUGGGAGAGCUAGUCUUUCAGUUGGAAACCUUCCAUUAUGUUGACACUUUUCUACCUCUUGUAUGAAGUGCCAGUGUCUCUAGAAAAGACUCCUCCAAUCUCCUGUCUGGGAAAACACCUGGCUGCUGACAUCUGGAGAGCAGGGCAGAAGACAGGCCUGAGCAUCCUACUUAUUACCUACUUGUCACUACAGAGAAUUUCUCUUAAUUCCUCUAUUUUCAACCUCCACGACUCCCCUCUGUUGUACCUGGUGUCACUUAUUUUGCAGACUUUAAGUGCUGUCUAAUAGAAACACAAUGCAAACCACAUUUCAACAAGUAGAAACAAACAUGAAAUUAAUUUUAAUACUUUAUCUAACCCAAUAUAUUCAAAAUACUAUUACUGCAACAUGGAAACAAUAUAAAGAAGUAUUCAUGGGAUGUUUUACAUUCUUUUUUUGUACUAGGUCUUUCCUAUUUGGUGUGUAUUUUACACCUGCUGCACAUCUUCCUUCAAAACAGCCACAUGUGACUCAUGGCUACUACACUGGACAGUGUUGGUCUAGAAAAUCAACUCCUGCGGGGCACAGUGGCUCAUGCCUGUAAUCCCAGCACUUUGGGAGGCUGGGGGCAGGAUUGCUAGAGCCCCGGAGUUCAAGACCAGCCUCAGCAACAGGGCGAGACCUCGUCUCUACAAAAAAUUUAAAAAUUAGCUGGGCAUGGUGGUACACGCCUGUAGUCUCAGCUACUCAGGAGGCUGAGGUGGGAGGAUCGCUUGAGUCCAGGGGUUUGAGGUUGCAUUCAGCUGUGGUUUCACCACUGUACUCCAAUGGGCAACAGAGCAAGACUCUGUCUCAAAAAAAAGAAAUGAAACCCCACAUCUUAUGGUAGCAGAAAGAGUCACCCAGUGAUGGAAAGUGAAGAAGGGAAUGCGAGUGCCAAGAGAAUUCCACCAAUCCCUAUCCCACUCCCAUGCCUAUGCCUGAUGCCUGCCACCCUUGGCACUCAGAGCCUUCAAGCGCUGAGCCUUUCUGGGAGGCUGCUGGGCAAACUGCUUAUUUCUUGUUGUUCUCACUCAAGCAGGCCCAUGGUUGCAGCUGCUCUGCUACACCAGGUCAGUUUAACUCUCCCAUUGGCUUUUCUUUGGAAAGGAAAAAAGCUGUAUAAUAUGUGAAACAUUUCAAAGAAUGUAUGUAGCACACAUGUAAGAUUCAUAAGCCUAAUAAUAUAGUUGUGAGCGACCUCCCCACACCCCAUUUAGGAAAUCAAGCAUUAUUUUGCUUCUCCCAGUCUUAUAUCCCUCUGUCUCUCCACCAGGAACUAGAAUUUUGUGUAUCACUGCGCUUAUUUUUUUCUUUUAGUUUACCACAUGUGUAUGUAUCUAUAAGUAAUAUAACGAUCUGUUUUGCUUCUCUAUAUUGUGCCAUAUGUCGUUUUUAGCAACUUGCUUUUAGCUGACGUUCUGUUUUCAAGAUUCAUCCAUGUUGCUGCAUAAACCUAACAUUCACUUACUGUUGCUGGUGUAUAACAUUCCAUCAUGUGAGCACAGACAUUUGGGUUGUUUCCAAGACAUGUAUCAAUGGCAAAAAUUAAGAUGUCUGACAAAACCAAGAGUUGGAGAGGAUGUGGAUGGCUUGGAAUUUUAUCUGCUCCUUUACACCCACUCUGGAAAAACUGUACAAACAAUUCUGCAAGGAUUUUUCCAGAGUUUCCCUAAAUAGAAAUCCUGGAUCACAGAAAAUAAGAAUGUUCAGCUUUGCAAGAUAAUGUCUCUAUUCCAGAGUGGGUGUAAAGAAGCACAUAAAAUUUCCACACUAUCCAUAUCUUCUCCAACAUUUUAAUUUUUGCCAGUCUAAGCAUCUGUAAAGUGGUAUCUCACUGUAUGUAGUCUUAGAAUACUAACGAGGUUAAAUUUAAAUGUCUUUUUCUAUGUUUAAUCACCAUCUACGAAAUGCUUUAUAGGAGUUCUUUAUAUACACUGAAUUAGAAUCCUUAUCCUUUACAGGCUGUAAGUGUUGCAAAUAUCUUCUCUCUACUCUAGCUUGUCUUUUCACAGUCUUUACUGGUGUUUUUUGGGGUUUUUUUUGUUUUUUUUUUUUUGAAACAGGGUCUCACUCUGAUGUCCAGUGGUGUAAUCUCGGCUCACUGCAGCCUUGACCUCAGGGACUCAGGUGAUUCUUCCCACCUUAGCCUACUGAGAAGCUGGGACUACAAGUGUGUACCACCACAUCUGGCUAAUUAUUUCUUUUUUUUUUUUUUUUUUUUUUUCAUAGAGACAGGAUUUCACCACGUUGCCCUGGCUGGUCUGGAACUCUUGGGCUCUGGCAAUCUGCCCACCUUGGUCUCCCAAAGUGCUGGGAUUCCUGGCAUAAGCACCUGGCCUAUUGGUGUCUUUCAAUAAACGAGAGAUCUUAAUUUUAAUCUAGCAAAUUCAGUCAUUUUUAUUUUAGAGUGAAUAUUUUAUGUGAUUAAGAAAAAGGUGGCCAGAGGCUAGGUAUGGUGGCUCAUGCACCUGUAAUCCCAGCACUUUGGGAAGCCGAGGCAGGCAGAUCGCCUGAGAUCAGGGGUUCGAGCCCAGCCCGGCCAACAUGGCAAAACCCCGUCUCUACUAAAAAUACAAAAAUUAGACGAGCGUGGUGGCAGAUGCCUGUAAUCCCAGCUACUCGGGAGGCUGAGGCAGGAGAAUCACUUGAACCCAGGAGGUGGAGGUUGCAGUGAGCUGAGAUCGCACCACUGCACUCCAGCCUCCAGCCUGGGUGACAGAGCGAAACUCCAUCUCCAAAAAAAAACAGAAAAAAAAAGAAAGAAAGAAAGAAAAGAAAAAGGUGGCUGGGCGCAGUGGCUCAUGCCCCCGUAAUCCAGGCACUCUGGGAAGCCGAAGCAGGCAGACUGCUUAAACUCGUGAGUUAGAGACCAGCCUGGGCAACGUGGCGAAACACCGAUUCUACGAAAACAUGCAAUUAGCCGGGCAUGGUGGUGCACGCUUGUAGUCCUAGCUACUCCGGAGACUGAGGUAGGAGGAUGGCUUGAGCCCAGGAGGCGGAGGUUGCAGUGAUACAAGAACGUGUCACUGCACUCCAGCCUGGGUGACAGAGCCAGACCUUGUCUCAAAAAAAAAAAAAAAGAAAAAGAAAAAGGCACACUUCCCUAUCAAGGUCUUAAAGAUAGUCUCCUAUAAUUUAUCCAAAACUGAAUUUCCUGUAUGUUGUGAGUUAGGGAUCCAACUGCAUCCUUCUCCGACUGUCACAGCACUGUGUUUGAAGAGUCUGCCCUUUGCACAGCGAUAUGUAAUUCCACCUCUGGAAUUCAAGCUUCUUAGGUCUGUUUCUGACAGCUUCUGUCUCACUGGCCAAUUUGGAUUUCCCUGAGCCAAUUUUGAAGUAAAUCUUGAUACGGGCAAGGCAAGUGCUCCCUCCUCAUUCCUCUUCUUCACAACGACCUCUCAAUACUACGACUUAAUUCUUCUCAACAUUUUAGAAUCGACUUAUCGCAUUUCACAUAAAACUCACGGAGCUUUAAAGAUGCACUGAAUCCACAGAACAAUAUGAGUUUUUAAAAGAUUCGGUCUUCCUAGGCAAGAACAUUCUGCCACUAUUUACUUGUCUUCUUUAAUGUCUCUUAAUAAAACUGCAAAUUUUUCUCCCUCAAAAAUUUUACACAUCUUUUGUUAAUUCUCGUUUAUAUCAAAGAUGGUUCCCCUCUCCCUCUCCCUCUCCCCCCUCCCCCUCCCCCUCUCCCUCUCCCCACGGUCUCCCUCUCCCUCUCUUUCCACGGUCUCCCUCUGAUGCCGAGCUGAAGCUGGACUGUACUGCUGCCAUCUCGGCUCACUGCAACCUCCCUGCCUGAUUCUCCUGCCUCAGCCUGCCGAGUGCCUGCGAUUGCAGGCGCGCGCCGCCAUGCCUGACUGGUUUUCAUAUUUUUUUUGGUGGAGACGGGGUUUUGCUGUGUUGGCCGGGCUAGUCUCCAGCUCCUAACCUUGAGUGAUCCGCCAGCCUCGGCCUCCCGAGGUGCCGGGAUUGCAGACGGAGUCUCGUUCACUCAGUGCUCAAUGUUGCCCAGGCCGAAGUGCAGUGGCGUGAUCUCGGCUCGCUACAACCUCCACCUCCCAGCCGCCUGCCUUGGCCUCCCAAAGUGCCGAGAUUGCAGCCUCUGCCCGGCCACCACCCCGUCUGGGAAGUGAGGAGUGUCUCUGCCUGGCCGCCCGUCAUCUGGGAUGUGAGGAGCCCCUCUGACCGGCCGCCCAGUCUGGGAAGUGAGGAGCGCCUCUUCCCUGUCGCCAUCCCAUCUAGGAAGUGAGGAGUGUCUCUGCCCGGCCGCCCAUCAUCUGAGAUAUGGGGAGCGCCUCUGCCCCGCCGCCCCGUCUGGGAUGUGAAGAGCACCUCUGCCCGGCCACGACCCCGUCUGGGAGGUGAGGAGCGUCUCCGCCGGGCCACCCCGUCUGAGAAGUGAGGAGCCCCUCCGCCCGGCAGCCGCCCCGUCUGAGAAGUGAGGGGCCCCUUUGCCCGGGAGCCGCCCCGUCUGAGAAGUGAGGAGCCCCUCCGCCCGGCAGCCGCCCCGUCUGAGAAGUGAGGAGCCCCUCCGCCCGGCAGCCACCCCGUCUGAGAAGUGAGGAGCCCCUCCGCCCGGCAGCCGCCCCGUCUGGGAAGUGAGGAGCGUCUCCGCCCGGCAGCCACCCCAUCCGGGAGGGAGGUGGGGGUCAGCCCCCGCCCGGCCAGCUGCCCCGUCCGGGAGGGAGGUGGGGGGUCAGCCCCCGCCCGGCCAGCCGCCCCGUCCGGGAGGGAGGUGGGGGGCGCCUCUGCCCAGCCGCCCCUUCUGGGAAGUGAGGAGCCCCUCUGCCCGGCCACCACCCCAUCUGGGAGGUGUACCCAACAGCUCAUUGAGAACGGGCCAUGAUGACAAUGGUGGUUUUGUGGAAUAGAAAAGGGGGAAACGUGGGGAAAAGAUUGAGAAAUCGGAUGGUUGCUGUGUCUGUGCAGAAAGAAGUAGACAUGGGAGACUUUUCAUUUUGUUCUGUACUAAGAAAAAUUCUCCUGCCUUGGAAAAAAAAAAAAAAACAAAGAUGGUUCCACUGGGAAAACAGAAACCAUGCUAAGGGAUUUCUAACACGAAGGGUUUAAUACAGAAAAUAGGUGCUUUCAAAACAACUGGCAAGGCUAUAUAGUGUGAGCAAAAGUAAAGUGGGCUAACUCCCCAUCUAAUUCCCACAGUCAUUGUCAAGAGUCAGGAAGCUACUACUGCCAUCUAUAGGUUAGGAAACUGCAAAAAUCUGCUGCCAAUACUGCAGCUGCUCUGCAGCCCUGAGACAGCUGGCCAGUGGGGGAAGGCAGAAGCCACUGCAAAAAGUCACCUCAAAAAUCUAAGCCCAUGCACACCCCCAACAUACACUAUGGCCUGAGGAAGAAAGGUUCCACCUCCCUUCCACUUGCCACAUUUCCCAAGACACAUGUCAUAGGGCAAAUGACACACAGAAGCCUGCUGCCAGGUGGUUCUGAGUGCUACUGCUCCAGCAUUCCAGCCUCUGAAACCCACGGACAAGCCCAGAAGGGAGUGAGUGGGAAGGUACUGAAUGCCCAGGCUGUACCUAGCAUGUCAUUUCCCUCUUUUCAAAAACAUGCAGAAAUUACUGAUCUACUGUUACAUCUUUCCCCUUUUUUUGUCCCUUUGGUUUUACAUUUUUUAUACUCCUUUUUAGCAGGCUUUUAGCAGGGCAAUGAAGUAACCCCAUAAGGUAACUCCAGAAGUCCUGAAGUCUAGUUCAAAAGCAACUUGACUGAGAAUGGCCCAGGGCUUCCCUAGGGGUUACUGAAACUCUCCUCAUACAAAGGAAGGUCACAGCUUUUGAGCAAGGGUGGUUAUUAGCUAACUCUCUACUUCCCCCACAAACACAAAGAGUUUCCUUUUUUGAGAGGGGAGGAGGUUGGGGGAAGGGAGAGUGUCAAUGAGGACUUGACUCUAUAUCUAUGAUUUUUUAAAAAUUUCUUUUAAAAUAAACUAGAAAAAAAAUCACAAGAUUUAGCAGUCAUUAAUUCAAGGAAGUAAGAAAAUACGUAUUACACAUUCUUUGUACAUUUUUAUGACUUAAUUUGCUCAGAAUCUCAACUUUAAGAACAAUUAGAAAUCAACCUGCUUGGCCGGGCACAGUGACUCACGCCUGUAAUCCCAGCACUUUGGGAGGCCGAGGAGAGCGGAUCACAAGGUCAGGAGAUCGAGACGAUCCUGACUAGCACGGUGAAACCCUGUCUCUACUAAAAAUACAAAAAAAAUUAGCCGGGUGUGGUAGCAGGCGCCUGUAAUCCCAGCUACUCAGGAGGCUGAGGCAGGAGAAUGGCAUGAACCCGGGAGGC